UGCAGUCGAGCGGUAGAGAGGUGCUUGCACCUCUUGAGAGCGGCGGACGGGUGAGUAAAGCCUAGGAAUCUGCCUGGUAGUGGGGGAUAACGCUCGGAAACGGACGCUAAUACCGCAUACGUCCUACGGGAGAAAGCAGGGGACCUUCGGGCCUUGCGCUAUCAGAUGAGCCUAGGUCGGAUUAGCUAGUUGGUGAGGUAAUGGCUCACCAAGGCGACGAUCCGUAACUGGUCUGAGAGGAUGAUCAGUCACACUGGAACUGAGACACGGUCCAGACUCCUACGGGAGGCAGCAGUGGGGAAUAUUGGACAAUGGGCGAAAGCCUGAUCCAGCCAUGCCGCGUGUGUGAAGAAGGUCUUCGGAUUGUAAAGCACUUUAAGUUGGGAGGAAGGGCAUUAACCUAAUACGUUAGUGUUUUGACGUUACCGACAGAAUAAGCACCGGCUAACUCUGUGCCAGCAGCCGCGGUAAUACAGAGGGUGCAAGCGUUAAUCGGAAUUACUGGGCGUAAAGCGCGCGUAGGUGGUUCGUUAAGUUGGAUGUGAAAUCCCCGGGCUCAACCUGGGAACUGCAUUCAAAACUGUCGAGCUAGAGUAUGGUAGAGGGUGGUGGAAUUUCCUGUGUAGCGGUGAAAUGCGUAGAUAUAGGAAGGAACACCAGUGGCGAAGGCGACCACCUGGACUGAUACUGACACUGAGGUGCGAAAGCGUGGGGAGCAAACAGGAUUAGAUACCCUGGUAGUCCACGCCGUAAACGAUGUCAACUAGCCGUUGGGAGCCUUGAGCUCUUAGUGGCGCAGCUAACGCAUUAAGUUGACCGCCUGGGGAGUACGGCCGCAAGGUUAAAACUCA
rnacentral:rRNA from 1 species